AUGACGGAAGAACAGAGGCUUGCGGCGGCAAAAACAUUGUUUCGGGUGGCUCUCUGUUGUAUUGGGAAUAUUUCAAAAUUUAUAAAAGCGGAAUUAGGUCAAGAGAUGCCACGAGGGGCCCACAAGCCUGGGGGUGCCCACCUCGGGGCAUGCCUGGCAGGCUUAUCACUCCCUCGUGACUCUUCCGUUCUUCUCCCGAAGCUUCUAGGGUCCCUUCUGGUCGAGAUAAAAAUCCUCAAAAAGUUUUGUAGCGUUUGGACUCCAUUUGGUAUUGUUUUUCCGAAAAUCCAAAAACAAGCAAAAACAACAACUGGCACUGGACACUAG
rnacentral:rRNA from 1 species